rnacentral:lncRNA from 1 species
CCAAUGUUGAGUAAAGCGGGAGAAUCACUUCUUUGGUUUUACUGGGGAUGCAUCGGUUACUGCAUGCCAGAGUUGUAUUGGCCCUAGUGGUUACUACAUCACAUUGCCAGCUCAUAUUCAUGCUGGGGUCUAUUGUUACCCCCAGAUCCCUUUCAUUUGUAGUGCUGGUCAGGUUGGCAUUGCCCAGCCUGUAGGUGUGUUGGGGGUUCUUCCUUCCCAGAUGGAGCACUUUGCAUUUCUCUGCAUUGAACCUCAUCUGGUUCUGUUCCGCCCAACAUGCCAGCCUGUCUAGGUCUGCUUGUAUAUGCAGCCUAUCUGUGGGUAUGUCUGCACAACCCCAUAUUUUGGUGUUGUCCGCAAACUUGGCCAAUGGCCUUUUCACCCCCUCAUCCAGGUCAUUGAUGAAGAUGUUGAACAGCACUGGGCCAAGUACUGACCUGGGGUCCACCACUGCCCACAUCUCACCAGGACGAUACCAGCCCAUUCAUUUGGACUCUUUGCGUCCUACCCUGCAACCAGUUUUGCACCCACUUGACAGUCCCACAGUUGGGCCUGAUAUCUUCCAGUUUUCUGAUCAGUACCUCAUGGGAUACCAGGCAGAUGACACCCCUCUAACCCACGUUCUUCAAAAGAAGAGAAAGCAAGAUGAAGGUCUCUUUGUUACUGUGGGGAGCCCUGGCACUUUUCUUGGGGGCCAUUCUUGCAGCAGUCUGCUUUCUUUAGCAAUUCACCUGAAAGAAACAGAGGCUAAAACGGUUAAAUAACCUGAGAGGUAAACAGAAAAUUUCAUUUUGGUAAAUGAAACCUACUCUUGAGUUUAUUUUAACAACCUAUGCAACAAUAGGACACUGGCAGCCCUUCUCUCCCUGCUUUAACUGUGGUAGAUUUGAGUGCUUUUGGUGGCUUUGAGUAAUAUGCCUUGUAGCUGUGCAACAGGGUUGAGUGUAUAGUUUAAAAAAUAAGUUAUACGAGUGGUCAGCAAGCUUUUGAGGGUGUGGGCCAGGGUGACCCAGAAGCAAGAGGGUGGGGUGCUUGGUAGGACAUAGCCACUGCUGCCACU